GCAGGCAUCCCCGGUUGGCACGAGCUGGCUCCUGGGCCUGGAUAAACACGAUGUCCCCGUAGUGGUGGGAGCCUCGGCAUCCCUGGCUCUGAUUCUCCUUUCCAUGGGCAUCUACUUCUUGUGGCAGAAAACGGAGCACACCAAGGGCAGCAGCACUGGUGAGCCCUCGGCCCGAGGCAUAGCUGGAGCCGCAGGGGAGGGUGGAGGGGCUGCUCUUGCUGGGACUGGGAAUAGAGGGGAGCAGGCCCUAGGCUUGUAGCCUGUUUGCUCUGACCCAGCCCAAUGGCAGGUCCAUGUGGGUGACCGCAUGCCCAGGAGGGCCUGCCCCGUGGGGUGGGAGCAGCUGACCUUGGGUAUGUGGCCACCCACAUGGGGCCUCUGAGCAGCAGGGGGUCGAGGUCCCCAUCGCCUUUGCAGGACAGCCGAGCUGUCCUCACCACCUGCCCCUGGAGAAACAAGUCUGCCUCUGUUCUGUAGCUUCUCCCAAACCCUCCAGCGGCAGGAGCUGGAGGAGGAACUACCUGGAGGUGGACAGAGCCUAUGAGAACAGGGCCUUUGAAGCGGAGUGUGCCAUCGACACCCUGAGCCUGGAUGAGACCCCUGCCCCCCGCAGCCUGGAAGGCCCUGGCCCCACAGCUCCCACGGGGGAAACGCAGGACCGGCCAGAGGACUCCCAAGCGUUGGUGCAGAGCGAGACCAGUCCUCAGGGACACUGCCCCAGCCCCGGCGGAGCCACAUCCGCUGCUGCAGCUGAGGAACCCCGUGGAAGGAGACCAGAUGUGGGCACAGCAGCUUCGCCAGCUCCCCCACACAUCUGCACCACUCUGCACCUCUACCGGCCUGAGACGUCCGAGUGCCUCCCUCCCAGGGAGCAGGCCGGUGCUGUGCUGGCCGUUACCAUCAAUAUCCGCCUCUGCCCAGCAGAGGUGUGCUCGGCUGCGGGCGCCGCAUCAAAUGCCUCUGAGCCACCCCUGCCAGAGGCAGCAUCACAGCCGCCUGCUGCAUCACUGGACCCCAGUAUGUGAGCACUUCUGCCACAAGUGCACGCCAGUGGGGGCAGCAGUGAGUCCUUGCCAUGCAGCUUCCGAGAUGCUGGUGCUGAGCCUUGCACCCCCAGCGGCUCGCACGUUGCCUGCCCAUAUGGCCUCCAUGAUGCAAUGCUGUCUCUCUCGCAGGGUCCAGGAGUUAUCUGAGACCAGAGCAACACAGGCCUGCUUCAGAUGGGUAGAGAACAAAACUGCAUAGCUGGGAGCAGCUGCCGGCCUGGAGGGUCCACAGACUGCAGUGGGUCAAAACUUCCUUGCCACUGGCCGUGGCCUGUUCUCCUUCCUGCUGCUCCUUCACCCUGCCUAGCUGCUGAGAUGCUCCCUCCUGGCAUCUCCCUGCUGUCUCGUCCACCACGCCCCAGCACAGCUCGCCAAGGCACGGGCAGCAAGGAAGCAGUGGCAGUGCCUGGUCUGAUGCUGGGAGACGCCCUGGUGUGGAGGCAUCACAGACUGCGAUGGGUGCUGGGAUGUUCUUGGCUCAGAGAAUAAAUG
rnacentral:lncRNA from 1 species